CAGUAGCCGCGGUAAUACGUAGGGUGCGAGCGUUAAUCGGAAUUACUGGGCGUAAAGCGUGCGCAGGCGGUUUUGUAAGACAGGCGUGAAAUCCCCGGGCUCAACCUGGGAAUGGCGCUUGUGACUGCAAAGCUAGAGUGCGGCAGAGGGGGAUGGAAUUCUGCGUGUAGCAGUGAAAUGCGUAGAUAUGCGGAGGAACACCGAUGGCGGAGGCAAUCCCCUGGGCCUGCACUGACGCUCAUGCACGAAAGCGUGGGGAGCAAACAGGAUUAGAUACCCCUGUAGUCCCUGUCUCUUAUAC
rnacentral:rRNA from 1 species